AGAAAGGCUGGGUGCGGCCUCAGCUGUACCUUGUCCCUGUGGAACACAGUAUAUGGGGGAUCUACCGUAAGGGCCCGAAGCUCCGACACCCGUCUCGCUGAUGUGAUGGCCACCAGGAAAGCGGUUUUCCAUGAGAGGUAGAGAAGGGAGCAAGUCGCUAAUGGUUAAAAUGGAGGGGACAUGAGCCGGGUCAGAACCAGGUUAAGGUCCCAGGUAGGGGCAGGGUGGCGAACCAGGGGGUAGAGACGCUCCAAGCCCUUAAGGAAUCUAGUCACCACAGGGUGAGAGACUACCGAGCGGCCAUCCCCCUCCGGUGAAAGAUGGAGAUGGCCGCCAGGUGAACCCGGAGAGAUGAUAUCGCUAGGCCCUGUUGCUUGAGGGACCAGAUGUAGUCUAAGAUACUGGCAAGAGAAACCACC